rnacentral:rRNA from 1 species
GACGAACGCUGGCGGCGUGCUUAACACAUGCAAGUCGAACGAAGAGCGAUGGAAGCUUGCUUCUAUCAAUCUUAGUGGCGAACGGGUGAGUAACGCGUAAUCAACCUGCCCUUCAGAGGGGGACAACAGUUGGAAACGACUGCUAAUACCGCAUACGAUCUAACCUCGGCAUCGAGGAUAGAUGAAAGGUGGCCUCUAUUUAUAAGCUAUCACUGAAGGAGGGGAUUGCGUCUGGUUAGCUAGUUGGAGGGGUAACGGCCCACCAAGGCGAUGAUCAGUAGCCGGUCUGAGAGGAUGAACGGCCACAUUUGGACUGAGACACGGCCCAGACUCCUACGGGAGGCAGCAGUGGGGAAUCUUCCGCAAUGGACGAAAGUCUGACGGAGCAACGCCGCGUGAGUGAUGACGGCCUUCGGGUUGUAAAGCUCUGUUAAUCGGGACGAAAGGCCUUCUUGCGAAUAGUUAGAAGGAUUGACGGUACCGGAAUAGAAAGCCACGGCUAACUACGUGCCAGCAGCCGCGGUAAUACGUAGGUGGCAAGCGUUGUCCGGAAUUAUUGGGCGUAAAGCGCGCGCAGGCGGAUUGGUCAGUCUGUCUUAAAAGUUCGGGGCUUAACCCCGUGAUGGGAUGGAAACUGCCAAUCUAGAGUAUCGGAGAGGAAAGUGGAAUUCCUAGUGUAGCGGUGAAAUGCGUAGAUAUUAGGAAGAACACCAGUGGCGAAGGCGACUUUCUGGACGAAAACUGACGCUGAGGCGCGAAAGCCAGGGGAGCGAAA